rnacentral:misc_RNA from 1 species
GAUGAAGAACGUAGCGAAAUGCGAUACGUAGUGUGAAUUGCAGAAUUCAGUGAAUCAUCGAAUCUUUGAACGCACAUUGCACCUCUCGGUAUUCCGGGAGGUAUGCCUGUUCGAGCGUCAUUUGUACCCUCAAGCUCUGCUUGGUGUUGGGUGUUUGUUCCGCCUCUGUGUGUGAACUCGCCUCAAAACAAUUGGCAGCCGGCGUACUUGUUUCGGAGCGCAGCACAUUUUGCGAUCCAGAUCAACGUACAGCGGCAUCCAAGAAGCCUUAUUUAACGCUCUUGACCUCGGAUCAGGUAGGGAUACCCGCUGAACUUAAGCAUACAAUAAGCGGAGGA